UACGAAGGGGGCGAGCGUUGUUCGGAAUUACUGGGCGUAAAGGGCGCGCAGGCGGCCUUAGAAGUCAGAUGUGAAAGCCCCGGGCUCAACCUGGGAAUGGCAUUUGAUACUCUGAGGCUGGAGUACGGGAGAGGAGAGUGGAAUUCCCAGUGUAGAGGUGAAAUUCGUAGAUAUUGGGAAGAACACCGGUGGCGAAGGCGGCGACCUGGUCCGACACUGACGCUGAGGCGCGAAAGCGUGGGGAGCAAACAGG
rnacentral:rRNA from 1 species